rnacentral:tRNA from 1 species
GAGCGAGUAGUCUAGUCAGGAUAGGACGUGACCUUGCGGAGGUUGAGGCUGGGGUUCGAAUCCCUGCUCGCUCA